rnacentral:lncRNA from 1 species
GCGGCACACCCAACCAGUCAUCCGCCUGCUGCAUGGCCUCGCGAGCGUUGUCAACAGGCUUGCUUGGGUCCCAGGUCUCCCAGUCAGGGCACAGGCCUGGAGCACAGCUGUCAACGAGAGCCCCGAGUGCUUUGCCAUCCUGCCAGUUUUGAUUGAAGUUUGUGAUGGGCAGGUAAGGGAUCUUGUUCUGAAUCCAGCCCAGCAGCCUUUGCUUGGGAGUCUGCUUCUUUGCAUCAUCGUCACCUUCAUCCUCCCACACAGGCAUGGAAAUCGAGUAGUGGAGGAUAAGGGUCCAUAUCAGACCAAGGAUCAACUUCAAGUUUCCAUCAACUAUGGCUUUGCUAUCGAUGGAGACCAGCUUGAUGCUCUCCCGCUCCAGGAACUCGAGGGCGACGGAGACGUUCUCCAGCUGCAUCUGGCGGAAGGUGGGCCGCUGGUGGUACUUGCGGUACAUGCGCUUCUGGCUGAGCACCUCGAGCAGCGCGAUCAGCCGCAGCCCGUCGCUCAGGUCGUGCUGCAGGUUGCCGAUGCGCUUGUUGACGCAGCGCAGGUGCUCAUUGCACCAACGGGUGAAGGUGUUCUGCUGGAUCCGCUUCCAGGGCGCGUCCUCCGCCAGGUCCUUCUCGGUGGCCGGCAUCUCGCCGUCGGGAUCGGCCGCUCUGCGCCCGCCCUGGCCCCGCGCCUGCGUGCUCAUGGCGCUGCCCCGCUCCGCCCCCGCCGCCGCCGCUCCGCCCCCGGUCCCGCCCGGCCGCGCGCCGCCCGCCGCGGCUGCUCCUGGCACAGCUCCGCCGGCUCCGGGCGCGGUGUCCGCGUGUCGCCGCUCUCACGCCGAGGGAUGGGAGCCGGGGAGCUCCGGUUCCGCCGCUCCGCUCGCUGCCGCCGCCGCCCAGCACAGCCGAUCCCGCACG